GUGUGAAAUGAGAAGAUUAGACUGUUGAUGCCAGGGUCUGGAUUAUUCUAGCUUCCAGAUUCCAAAGGGCAUCUUGUAGAGGUGAAGAUCUCCUAACACAGAAGAUAGAAGCAGUGUGCCUAAAUUUGCUUAGAAAGUGCUAACAGAGUUAGAAGUUUUACCAGCAUUUCCUGUCUCAAAAACAAGUUCUCUAUUUGGUCUUCAAUGACAGUAAAACGGGGAUCAGAAACUGUAACUGUUUGUUCAAAAGCAGAAGCUAGAAUCAUUUCAAAGAAAGAGAGCAAAAUCAAAACCGAAACAGCACUUUUACCUAUCCGUAGAAGCAGUGGAGUGUAUCUGCUGGCGGCUUCUAGUCCCGUACUGCAAGUGAAAUUUAUUAACCACAGAGGUGUCUUUCACUUAUGUCUUAAAUUAAGGUAUGUCUGUCACUGCUUAGAUGAUGCAUGAUCUGACACCUCAUUUAUUAAGCCAUCUUCAAAUGUCAGACUCUCGUUUCUAACAGUACUACAACGUAAGAAAGCGGAACCAUGAUUAAGCACCCAGUAAAUAAUUGAGGAUGAUGAUGAAAUCAAAGAACACUGGAAAAGCAACUUGUUAGGUGUGCUGUGGAGAGACUUCUUGUACUGGGCAGAAGGUUGGAUGAAAGAUUCUCUGCAGUCCCUUCCAGCCCUGGGAGUUUAUGCUUGAAAUAUCAACUUAAUUAAAUUGCAAUACUUGUCAACAAUCCAA